GGAAGUGGAUGAGUUUCCUAAAGCAACCUGGCAGCUCCUUUCCCUUUUCUUGUUGCGUUCCUUGGUCGAUCAUAGUCUGUAAGUAAGCUCUUGGACAUGAAGUGAAUGUCAUCUACAUUGAGGUAAUGUAGUUUGCGUUGACUUAUAAUGUUAUUCAAUACACCAUAUAGAUGCUAACCGCUAGCGCUAAGCUAACGAGGACGGUAUUUGCCAUUUGCUAACAUUAGCUGUUAUUGCUAAUCACCGCACGUCAUUUAUUCUUGUUUUUACUGUGCCUUACCAGUCUGUACUUUUUGUUUUUACUUGCCUCUUAAAAGGAACCUCGGACAUAGACUUGUAGGCUCUAAUAAGCCACAAUUGUUCUGUUUUACUAAAAUUUUAUUAUAAACACAUAAAAUAUUGGCAUUGAUUUAAAAAUAUAUAAUAUUUAGUACAUGUUUUGACCUACGGAGGGCGCAUGUUUUAAGCGUGCAAUGGACGCUCGGGGUGAUGACGUAGAUUGUCACUGUCACUCGACGAAUACUACCGGGUUACGGCAAUUCUUUCUACGUGGCGAGAUGUCCGACACAUGCACUCAUCGGUUAAAAGCGCUCCUGAGACCCUGCGGCCAUCUGAUGACCGAGCCAAUCAGAAAGAGGCAGAAGCUGCAGAUGUGACCAGGAAGAAACAAUGUUUUAGCUCUUCCGUGAACCAAACGUCAAUAGUGGCUUGGACUGGUCGCUGUCGAGCCAAUCAGGGAAAAGAAGCAGGAGCUGCAGACUUGACUAGGAAAGGACUAUCUGCUUGAAUACUAUGGCGGAAUGCAAAGCGGUUCUUGUAGUUUAGUCACUUUCCCAAGUUUUGUCAGAAAUACACUUAAUUUCCUCUUUUAAAGAGGAGCAAAGAAUGUCACAAAAACAAUUUUUUU